rnacentral:lncRNA from 1 species
AUUCUCCAUGAAGUUCUGAGCUGCGAGAGCCCAGCAACGCCCUGAACCCAGGCAGCCUGUGAGUAACUGCACAGCCAGGAAGCCAGGAAGGGCUGCAUUGAAGAGGUACUGGCUAGGGACAAAGUGGCUGAAAACCACUGACUACUGAGUCUUGACUGCAGGGGGCCACCGCGUCGCGGCUCCCGCACUGAAGCUCUGGGUCUGGGGAUCUGAAAACCGCCUCGGGAACUGUUCCUCCCCGCCCGCCAGGGUUGUACGCCCAGGUGCCAAUGGUUCUGGGCAACCGAGCUCAGCGCGGGUAGUGGCUGACCAUGGGAGAGGCCAAGCUCUCAGCCUGUCCAAAGUGCAAGGCCGGGCUAUUCCCGGACGUGCGGAGGCGCGGGGGCGGGUGGCACCUCCCGGACUGUCCCAGAGUCCCCGGCGCGCUAGGCGCACCUACUUGUGCGCACCAGAGAGCAGCGCUUACCAUGGAACAUGGUCUGCGGGAGGUGGGUGUAGUCAUGAUGACUGGGACUGCAGCAGGAGCCGGCUCUCACCACCCAUAAUCACUCCCAGGACCCCGGUCAUCCACCGGGUGGCCGCAAACCGGUGCUGGGCAGGGCAGUUCAGGCAGCUGACUCCUCUCACCCACGCCACGCCUGGUCCAUCCAUCCCAAGAGGGGCCGCAUGCAUCACCGGCCACCCAGGCGCUCUGGCUUUGCCAUAACUUCCGUAGGAUCUGCCGGCAGACUAAGCAGGGUACUUUCAGUUUCUACUUUGCGCUGGGUCUUCAGGUUCAAUGUUUGGGUUUAUACCCUCAGCGUCUUCCCCAGUCACCUGGACCAGGAUCAGUGGUUGCUGCGAAUUGAAAGUAGCUCAGGAGAAGCCAGCUGGCCUUCUGGAUCAGAAAGAUUCGGCUAAUAGGCUUUUCAAAUGACUUCUAACCUCUCUGGCAACUCUGUGAGACUGGGAGCUAAAACCGCUGGUUACUAAUAUGUCCACAGAAGCCACAAAUGUGCAGCAGAGAAAGCUCGCUAUUGCAAGUCAGUUCCACUGAGGAGGCGUCGCUGCUUCUGCUGCCGCCGAUGUAAGUCAUCUUAAAAAAAAAAAAAAAAAAAAGGAAGUGAAGGAUGAUUAAGAGGGUCACGCCCUCUGCCCCUCUAGGUUCUCUAGUUUGUUUUUUUUUUUUUUUUCCUCCCUGUCAUCUGUGCAAUGCACCUGCUCAGGUAGGACUUUAAGAACAAAUAAUUCUUGUGAGUCCAUCCAGUCUAGUAUGUAAGUGGUAGCUUCAGAAAACCAAAACUCGUAUUAGUUGGGGGCACAUAGAAGUUCUGCAUAGUAACUAUCUCCCACAGUUAUCUCCUGACAUAGCUAAUCACCAUUGUGAUUGUUUCAUUAAAGUGUUUUGUUUUGUUUUAAUAAUAGGCCUGAAUUACCGAGGGGAUUCCUGAUUUAGUGUUGUUUCUUAUAAUCAGGAGAAACACUGCUUAGGUGAAGGCAGGUUGUGCAAACCAGUAACAAGAGAGAUCUGAGAUCAGGACCAUAUCUCUCAUAUAUCUAGUAUUUGCUCUAUGCCAGGACUCUUGGUCAGGAAUUUACAUGUAUUUUGGCAUCUGGAGUUUUCUGCCGAGGCAAUCUGUUUUCUUAUCUGCAGUUGAAAGAUACACAUGGGAACAGAGGCUUCCUUAAGUAACAGAGCUAAGUUCACGUGGCUGAAUUUGGAUAAAAAACACCUGCAGGCUGGCUUCAAAGAGUCUGCUUGGAAUCUCUUGUGGAAGAGAACCUUGUAAAUAAUGGAGGAUACAGUAGACUAAGAAGACGCCCUAGGGUGGUGGGUGUGCUCUUAACGCUCUGGGGAACCUCAGAAAGGGGUCUGGAGCUGGCGGUUCCUAAUCGGACAUCAGGACACGAGCUUCAGAUUCUGUCUGUUAACAGUGAAAAGAGGCAGAGAGGUACUGUUUGUGCAUUUAGAGUGUGGACCAUAGGAGUUCUAACUGGGCACUGGCCUGUGGACUCUGCAGGGACUCUCACUUUCCACAUUCAAUGUAAAACCUGUUGUCUUAGUGCACUUCCAAAAUAAAUCCUACCCGGUGCCUGCAGGGCUGUUUAAACACCUCUCUGUUGUCUCUCUUGUUGUCAUCCUGCUCAAAGCAUCAGGAGAUUUGACAGUACUUGUUAUCUUCACUGCAGCCCUGGUCUCCAGACAGCUCCCAUCCACAGAGAAGGGCUAUCUAGAAUAGGAUUAGGCUCCAGCGUUGCAGUAUGACAGGAUGGAAGAGAGCUACUGUGGUGAGAAAGCAUUUCAACGAUGGAACAUGGAAAAAUGUCCACC